ensembl:lncRNA
GGAAUUAAGCAAGUCCUGCUUGCCUUUUUCCCACAAGCCUGUGCUAACUGAAUGCUAAUUUUUCGAUAAACCCUACUGGGUCUAGGGGAAAUCUUUAUGAAAUGACUGUCUGACAAGAUGAUCUUAUAAGGUCUCCUAAUGUGCGUAGGAAGAGCAUUGGGUUUAGCAGUCAUUGUCUGCACUGUCAAACUUUGAAGUAGGGAAGGUAAACUUGAGACACCCUUCAAAAUGAGUCACACUAAUUGAAUAACAGUGGCUUAACACUCUUUUUGUCUCUCUCCCUUUCUCUUUUAUUAAUGGCAGACAGAUCAUAUCUGAAAGAAGCACACUCAUCCAGGUUUAACCGUGGCCCGUCAUUCUGCUGAAGGUGACAAACCACAUAGGAAUCCUGAUGCCUUUCCAGUGUGAACCUGUAGUUUUUAAUUCCUAAAGAAAUCAGGACACGAUGACUGGAUUUUAUCUCAGAUGAUCUGUAUUGAAACAUCACCAAGCGUGUUAACUGCCAUGCUGUGGACCCGACAGCUGAUCCUAUCAAAUUACAACGGGAUGCUGAGUCAGUUUCUGAGUGUAUUGUUCCGGCUUUCCAUGUUUUCACUGGUGUACGGUAGGAGGCCCUAUCUUCUGAAAGAGUAUUGGACGUCUGGAUCAAAACAUGGCGAAGAAGCAGAAACAAGUGAUCACAAUGAAAUGUCGAUUCAGGAAGUGGUAUAGGAUGGUGCAAGCUUUGGAUGUGUUGAUGGAAGUGAUCUAUUCCAUCUAUGUUUUGAUCAUCAUUCUGAAUCUGAUCUAGAUGUAGUCUUUAAAAAAAAAAAAAAAAAAAAUUCUCAGCAUUUUGAUUAAAAUGUAGCACUUUUUAUGAAACUUACUCACAUUCAAGUGUUGAUAAACAAAGAUUGCAUGUAGCAAUUUUUUAAAAUUUUUAUUUUUAUUUGUUUUUUUGUUGUUGCUGUUGUUGUUGUUGUUGUUGUUUAAAGCAGAGGCUCUGUUCUUAUUGACAUAUUGCAUGUUCAGAUAUUCAUACAACAAAAUAUUCUGGGGGGCAUUAAACUUUUGUGAAAAUCAUGAAAAAUGCUGGUGGGGGAAGAGUUUAGAAGAAGUGGUAAAUCAAAUGGUAGUCUUUCUUCUGUGAACUGACAUGACUUACUUUUUCUUCACACUGUAAAAUCCUUUGCACUAUGAUUCUGAAACUACCGUAAAGCCAGCCAGUCCAAUCGGAGCUCGCCGUGUCAAGAAAUCUCUUUUCAUUUUGUGUGCAAUAGACAUGAGAGGCUAUGUGAAUGGUCCAUGGGCGUGCCGUCUGAGCUUGAGAGUACUUCUCAGAAGUCUGCAUUAUGUAAAACUGACAGAGGAACAUAAAAGCGCACCGAUGCUCUAAUUCACAGUUUCCACUUUAAAAGCUGAAAACAUAAGUUCACCAUUCCUAGCGAGACGAGUGAUGAUUUGAAAAGCAACUCUGCCAUUUGACUGCACCAAAUGACUGCGCAGGCAAAAAAUCCUAAAAUCUAUGAAUAGACAUUACAGAGCGAAAGUGCUGCCUGCUCGAACGUUAUCCUGACACUUCAAAGGAACCAAUCAGAGCCCAAUCCGUUCAAUUCCACCGUGAGAUUGCCUCGCUUCCCAGCUGUCAUCACGAAAGAUGCGAUGACAGGAAUGAAGAGUCCGA